rnacentral:rRNA from 1 species
GAUGAACGCUGGCGGCGUGCCUAAUACAUGCAAGUCGAGCGAACAGAUGAGGAGCUUGCUCCUCUGACGUUAGCGGCGGACGGGUGAGUAACACGUGGAUAACCUACCUAUAAGACUGGGAUAACUUCGGGAAACCGGAGCUAAUACCGGAUAAUAUAUUGAACCGCAUGGUUCAAUAGUGAAAGACGGUUUUGCUGUCACUUAUAGAUGGAUCCGCGCCGCAUUAGCUAGUUGGUAAGGUAACGGCUUACCAAGGCAACGAUGCGUAGCCGACCUGAGAGGGGGAUCGGCCACGCUGGAACUGAGACACGGUCCAGACUCCUACGGGAGGCAGCAGUAGGGAAUCUUCCGCAAUGGGCGAAAGCCUGACGGAGCAACGCCGCGUGAGUGAUGAAGGUCUUCGGAUCGUAAAACUCUGUUAUUAGGGAAGAACAAAUGUGUAAGUAACUAUGCACGUCUUGACGGUACCUAAUCAGAAAGCCACGGCUAACUACGU